rnacentral:rRNA from 1 species
UACGGAGGGGGCUAGCGUUGUUCGGAAUUACUGGGCGUAAAGCGCGCGUAGGCGGACCUGCAAGUCGGGGGUGAAAGCCCGAGGCUCAACCUCGGAACUGCCUUCGAUACUGCGGGUCUCGAGUCCGGGAGAGGUGAGUGGGAAUUCCUAGUGUAGAGGUGAAAUUCGAUAGAUAUUAGGAAGAACACCAGUGGCGAAGGCGGCUCACUGGCCCCGGUACUGACGCUGAGGCGCGAAAAGCGUGGGGAGCAAACAGGG